CCCUGCCUCCGCCGCGGGCUCGGCCUACUUCCUGGUGGAGCAGUGGGGCGUCCUCCCCGCUGCUUCCACUCCGACGAGGUUUGCCGAUGGUCCGCAGUCGUGAUUCGGCGGCACACUGUUCAGCCCCCCCCCCCCGCCCCCCUCCUCGCUGCUUGAAACAUGGGGAGCACGGUGAUGGAGGCCGGCAAGGGAGGCUCCAAGAAGCUGCCGAAGAGGAGGAGAAGUCUGCGUAUUAACAUGCCCGAGUUUUCGCCGUUUGCUUCUCCUCAGGGGGAAAAGAUUGGCUCGGCCAGAAGCCCAAAGACGGGGGAGCGUUGCGUCUGUUCGGCCAGCCUGACCGGCGGACAGCCUGCCACCGACCCGCCGCCGUGCCCGCAGUCGGCCCCGGUGCAGUACAAGUCCGGCUCGGGUUCCCCGAAGAGCAUCUUCGCCUAUUCCUGCUAUCAGAACUCCCCGCCCAAAUCCCCCCGCCGCCUCAGCUUCAGUGGCAUCUUCCGUUCCUCAUCUGGCACCAGCCCAGCGAGCAUCAAGAUAUUCUCCAGAGCCCGCAGAGCCUCUGGACUCGCCACGCCACCUUCCACCCCAACGCAGGCCUCCAGCCAGCCUGCGUUCCCCCAGGAGGCCCAGCAGGGCGGCCCCAGCCCGGAACGCCCGGGGGAACGCUCUCGCCCGCGCUCGGUGUCCACGCCGCCGGACACGGGACAGCGCCUCGGCCUUCCCUCCGCCAAACCCCCGAAACCUUCCUCCAGCCCCGUGCCGGCGUUCUCUACCUCACAACACGUGUCCGGUUUAUUCGAAGGCAUGCUGGAGAAACUUGAACUCGACGACGACGCUGCUGAGCCUGAGAGCGAUAUUUACAUGCGCUUUAUGAAAUCGCACAAGUGCUACGACAUUGUGCCAACCAGCUCCAAGCUGGUCGUGUUCGACACGGCUCUCCAAGUUAAGAAAGCCUUCUUUGCCUUGGUGGCCAAUGGCGUGCGAGCGGCUCCACUGUGGGACACAGAGAAACAAAGCUUUAUCGGCAUGCUGACAAUCACAGACUUCAUCAUCAUACUUCACAGAUACUACAAGUCACCAAUGGUGCAAAUAUACGAGUUGGAAGAACAUAAGCUUGAGACGUGGAGAGAGGUUUACCUUCAAGCAACGUUCAAACCUCUUGUCAACAUAUCGCCCGAUGCGAGCCUUUUUGACGCCGUGUACACGCUCAUCAAAAACAAAAUUCACCGCCUGCCUGUCAUCGACCCCGUGACCGGGAACGCACUUUAUAUUCUUACGCACAAGAGGAUCCUCAAGUUCCUCCAGCUCUUUAUGUGUGAGAUGCCAAAGCCAGCUUUCAUGAAGCAGACCCUGGGGGAGUUGGGCAUCGGCACGUACCAGGAAAUUGCCUUCAUCCACCCCAACACGCCCAUCAUCAAAGCCCUCAACAUCUUUGUGGAGAGGAGAGUGUCAGCUUUGCCCGUGGUCGAUGAGUCAGGCAAGGUUGUGGACAUCUACUCUAAGUUUGACGUCAUCAACCUGGCAGCAGAGAAGACUUACAACAACCUUGACAUCACAGUGACCCAGGCCCUCAAGCAUCGCUCCCAAUACUUCGAAGGAGUCAUGAAGUGCCAUAAAAUGGAAACAAUGGAGACCAUUGUGGACAGAAUUGUGAAAGCAGAAGUGCAUCGGUUGGUGGUGGUGGACGAGCGUUCCAGCAUCGAGGGCAUCGUCUCCCUGUCGGACAUCCUCCAGGCCCUGGUGCUCAGCCCAGCAGGUAUAGACGCUCAGCGUAGCUAACCGCACCUCCUCUCGGUCCCGGACAUAGCACCCCAUCCCCCACCCGAGCUCUCUCCUCUCCUGCCCCGCCCUCUCACUUGCUCCCAGACGGCUGCAAGGAGGAGAACCUGCCCGAGUGAGAGGAAGCAUCAGCUUAAAGAGGAGACGUGGUGAGAGCUAAAAACAAACGAAGCAAAAAAAAAAGCAAGCUGAUGCUACGUAGAAACCAAAGAGGUAGUGAGCACUGAGGACUGCGCUUGUUGAAUGUACUGUAUGUUGAUUGUUCGCAUCAGACCAGUACGUGUACAUACCAUUUGCUGUGUACAUAUCCAUGUAUGAAUAUAAAUAUUAUCAAAACACACCAUUGUAGUCGCCUUGCCGGGGAAUGGUGGACCAGAUCAGACGGGUUUGAAAAUUGUUGAGUGGUUGGUUUAACUUGUCAGAAUUUUGUCACACCGAAGGUUAAAAAGAAAACGGAAUAAAAAAAAAAAAAAAAGGUCCAGCUUUAGAGAUACUUACAAAAUAAGAAUAAUAAUUUCACACUCUUGUGAUUCCAGUUAAGAACAGAUUUUUCUUUCCUGUCAGCAAUGUUGAGAAACGCGUGAGGAUAUAACAUUAGUGCAGUCAGCAUUCAUUUUGACAAAUAAGAAGCAUCAUCCCAAUCUUCAAAUCAUUUUUUUCGGUUUAUUUUCUGUUUUGGAUCAAAAUAAAAAAAAGUAACACGAUUUGAAAAGAUUGUAUUUCUUGCAUGUAGUGGCCACAGGUGCUUAGGUGCAGAUCAGAGGAGGAAUCCAUUCGUCGGGAGCUUGUCAUUUAGACAUAUUCCAAAAAUAUUACCGCUCCACGCACAACAUCGUGGAGCGACCACAGUCGUGCUAAUCGUUAUUAUUAAAGACGGCGUCUUCGCAGAACAUAAAGCUCUGCUUUAAUACUGCGCUGGUUACAACAUGCGUCUCCACCUCACUGAAUUCAUCUGAUAGACUGUUCACAUGCAUGGGUAGGUGCUGCUGUUUUGGUUAGGAAAAAAAAGAGUUAAAAAGGGCCCUCAGCGGUUCUCGCUCGUUCUAAAAUCUGUGUGUCAACAACAACAUUUACGAGGUAGCUCCAGUUAUUACCGGUUUUGUUCCUGGUGGUGAAAAAGGCAGUCGACUAUUUGAGGAAGCCGUCAGUUUCUUUGAAGUGGAUGAGGCACAUUGGGACACGCAGCCGAUUUGCGAGACGGGCCACUAUUGGAGGAAAUGCGUGUCAUGCUUUUCAUUACGACUGAAGUGCAUUUUCAUUUUUUCCGAGGAAGAUGAUGUUAACAAAAGAAGCAUGACCGCAGCUGGACAUGUAGCUCAUCUCCCCGAUGGACUGUAAAUAGGAUUAUUCUUUUUUUUUUUUGUCACAGAAAGCUUUAUUUUUUAUGAGCACGGCAUUAAAGAGACUGCUGUUUUUUUUUUUUUUUGUUUGUUUUUUUUGUAAAUAUACUGCUGGAUCCACAUGUACAGCAGUAUGAAUGUUAUUUUGCUGUUGUUUUUUUUCUAUUUUUCUGCCUGCGGAAAAAUAAAAGACACUGAAUGUAUGUUAAACUCAGUUAUUUGUUUUUAUUUUGUCUAUAUAUACUUUUAUUCAGGUCCUUUUUGUGUAUGUUAAGCGGGGUACACGCAUACGAUAGUCGGGCAAAAUUGUUGUCGUUUUUUUCCCCCGACUCCCGAUCAAUGUUAGCAAAGGCCUGAUCAUCAGAUUUCUUUAAAAGAUUAUCUUGAGUGAUUAUCUAUGACAAGGGUGUCAAACUCAUUUUUGUCACGGGCCACAUCGCAGUUAUGAAAAACAUGU